rnacentral:rRNA from 1 species
GGAGAGUUUGAUCCUGGCUCAGGAUGAACGCUAGCGGCAGGCUUAACACAUGCAAGUCGAGGGGCAGCAUAAUGGAUAGCAAUAUCUAUGGUGGCGACCGGCGCACGGGUGCGUAACGCGUAUGCAACCUACCUUUAACAGGGGGAUAACACUGAGAAAUUGGUACUAAUACCCCAUAAUAUCAUAGAAGGCAUCUUUUAUGGUUGAAAAUUCCGAUGGUUAGAGAUGGGCAUGCGUUGUAUUAGCUAGUUGGUGGGGUAACGGCUCACCAAGGCGACGAUACAUAGGGGGACUGAGAGGUUAACCCCCCACACUGGUACUGAGACACGGACCAGACUCCUACGGGAGGCAGCAGUGAGGAAUAUUGGUCAAUGGACGCAAGUCUGAACCAGCCAUGCCGCGUGCAGGAUGACGGCUCUAUGAGUUGUAAACUGCUUUUGUACGAGGGUAAACUCACCUACGCGUAGGUGACUGAAAGUAUCGUACGAAUAAGGAUCGGCUAACUCCGUGCCAGCAGCCGCGGUAAUACGGAGGAUUCAAGCGUUAUCCGGAUUUAUUGGGUUUAAAGGGUGCGUAGGCGGUUUGAUAAGUUAGAGGUGAAAUUUCGGGGCUCAACCCUGAACGUGCCUCUAAUACUGUUGAGCUAGAGAGUAGUUGCGGUAGGCGGAAUGUAUGGUGUAGCGGUGAAAUGCUUAGAGAUCAUACAGAACACCGAUUGCGAAGGCAGCUUACCAAACUAUAUCUGACGUUGAGGCACGAAAGCGUGGGGAGCAAACAGGAUUAGAUACCCUGGUAGUCCACGCAGUAAACGAUGAUAACUCGUUGUCGGCGAUACACAGUCGGUGACUAAGCGAAAGCGAUAAGUUAUCCACCUGGGGAGUACGUUCGCAAGAAUGAAACUCAAAGGAAUUGACGGGGGCCCGCACAAGCGGAGGAACAUGUGGUUUAAUUCGAUGAUACGCGAGGAACCUUACCCGGGCUUGAAAGUUAGCGACGAUUCUUGAAAGAGGAUUUCCCUUCGGGGCGCGAAACUAGGUGCUGCAUGGUUGUCGUCAGCUCGUGCCGUGAGGUGUCGGGUUAAGUCCCAUAACGAGCGCAACCCCUACCGUUAGUUGCCAUCAGGUGAAGCUGGGCACUCUGGCGGGACUGCCGGUGUAAGCCGAGAGGAAGGUGGGGAUGACGUCAAAUCAGCACGGCCCUUACGUCCGGGGCUACACA